CCUCCCCUCUCUACUUCCUGUUUCUUCCUUCACCAACCUAAUGGAGGUUUUCUUCACAGAUGGGAGGGAAGAAAGGAGACAGAGUUGAAGGACCACUGGACUGGCUUACCAAUUGACUGGACUAUUUUUAAUACACAGCCUCAGAGGAUUCUGACAGGGCAGCAUAAGAAACUGAGAGCCCUCUUCCUUUCUGGUGAAGACUUAGACAUGAUCGAACUUUGAAUGUUCCUGAGGGGAAAUUUUCAGGAGGAGGAAGGACUGAUGGAGAAGACUCUCUGCAUAAACCCAGAUAAAUUAUGACACACUAAGAGACUUUCUUGUUCAUAAUAACAUAAACCUAUAAUACCAUUAGAUUAUAUUAUUAUAAACAAGAAAAUCACCGAAGAGCAACAAGUUCUAGAGCUCUUCCUUUAUUGUUACAAUGAGGGGAGAACCAAAUCCAAUCUUCACAGUAAUUGUCAUUAAGUGACUUGCCCAGGGUGACACAGCUAGGAAACAGAUGAGGUUGAAUUUGAUCUCAUUUGAUUUGAAUCCUGACUCCAGGUCUGGCAUUCUAUCUUAUCUACUGUGCUAUCUGGCUGUUCCAUGCUCUAUAAUUUUAAAGAUGAGGAAACAUGGGCCCGUAGUUGCCCAAAUUUUGUGACUUUCCCAGGGCCAAAUGAGUAGGAAUUAGCAGAACCAGGACUCAGGUCCAAAAGUACCCAGUAGGAUCACUCCCAAAUUUUUAAUGAGGCUCCUGGCUUGACUUGCUUUAAGGAAAAAUAAGGCUUCUUGGGAGCCAUCAUCUUGGUAAUGUUCACUGAACUCGCUUCUCCCUCCUGGUAAUCAAGGACGCCACGUGAGACAUCCAGAAUAAAAGGAUCCUAGAUCUAUAGCUGAAAGGGAACUCAGAAACCAGCUAGUCCAGGGGUCCAAAAACUAUGACCUAUGGACAAAUCCAGCCUGCCACUUAUUUUUAUUCAUCCCCUGAGCUAAGAAUGUUAUUUACUUUUGUAAAUGUAGUUUUAUCGUAUUUUUAAAUACAAACACCAUUCUUAGCUCACAAGCACCAAAAAAUCAAAAUAGAACAGGUGACAAGACUGGUUUGGCCCUGGAGGCAUCAUUUGCUGGAUCCUGAUCUAGUCCUAACCUUUCAUUUUAUAUAUUAAGAAACUAAGGCCCAAAGUGGUUAGUUAAGUGACUUGCUUAUAUCACACAGGUAGAAAGCAGCAGAAGUGGGAUUUAAACUCGGGUUCUGUAGGUGGUGCUGUAGAGUAGAGCCCUAGGAUGGAGACAGAGACACCCAUCUUACCAAGUUCAAUUCCAGAGUCAGACAUUUACUAGCUGUGUGACUCUGGACAAGUCCUUUAACCCUGCCUGCCUCAGUUUCCUCAUCUGUAAAAUAAGAUGGAAAAGAAAAUGGCAAACUACUCCAAUAUCUUUGCUAAGAAAAUCUCCAAUGGGAUCAUGAAGAGUUGGAAUUGACUGAACAAUUCCCUGAAUUGAGUUAGCACUCUUUCUUUUGUACAUGCUGUCUAUCUAACCUCUAUUUCUUUGGUAGGAAAAAAUAAAACCCUUCCCAACUGCUCCACCAAGAGGAAGCUUAGGUGGGAAACCUACUUUCCCACCCCACCACCAUUCAUGUACAGUGAUACAUACUCUCUGGACACCAAAACAUGUUUUAUUAUCCUCUCAUUCAAAGGAAUUUAAGAAUAUUAGUUAUUAAUCUUCAACAAAAAUCAUGGGAGACUUCUUUUUUCAACAUGUUUCUUCUAAAUAAAACCAGUUCUGAUGCACAUUAGUGUGCAUGCCUUCAUUCUAUGCAUUAACAUAUCAGACCUUAAAAGUCAGCUAGUAUAUUUCUUAGUCAGAAUUUGAACCCAUGUUUUCUAUCACCAAUUCCUUGUGGUCUUUCCAUAAACUUUAGGUAAAAGCUCCUUCUCUCCAUUUGUUUAUUUCUUUUCAGUCAUGACCAAUGCUUCGUGUUCCCAUUUCAAGUUUUCUUGGCAAAGGAAACUUGAGUUGUUUGCCAUUUCCUUCUCCAGUUCAUUUUUCAGAUGAGGAAACUGAGACAGACAGUGUAAAGUGGCUUGCCCGGGUUCACAUAGCUAGUAAGUAUCUAAGGUCAGAUUUGAACUCAGAAAGAUGAGUCUUCCUGUCUCCAGGCUCAGCAUCCUAUCCCACUGACCCACAUAGCUUCCCUCCUAGCCUUUCCUAACCUUUCCCCUCCCCACAAGUUGAAUAGAUCUACUGAUGUCUCUAUUUCUUUAUGUCUUUCUUCUCUUUUACUUCUUAAAUGCAUGAAUUUCUUCCACCUUUGGACCUACUACAGGGACUAGCAAACAAAGUUGGGAUGUUCAAUGGCUAAGUCAAGCUUUCAAAGCAAUAAAUAGCUUCGACUCAUUGGUUACUACAGUCUUAUUUUGCAAUCUUAAAAAAUGAACUCGACAACAACUCAAAACACAUCGUUUGACAACAUGAUCAAAAUAUUUUGUCUGCUGAGCAGAGACUCUAUUUUCUUGUUCCUAAAGAAAACACAGAAUUGGAGUUAGAUCUGUAUUGAGUUAAAUGAAGAGAAACUGGAUAGUUAUCUGGAUAAAACCUUAGAUUUCUAAGGUCAAUGUGAAAAGCCAGCCAUGUGACUCAGCUCCCCGUGAAUCAGCGUUUAGAAGAAGUGAGGUAUAAUACCUACAUAGUCUUCUUGUUUGUUUUGACUUACAAGGAAAAUGUUUCUCAGAAAAUUUCCAAACCACUCCUACACCUGAAGACAAUUGGGCAAGAACACCUGAUAGAAUCAAUUCAGCUCAUGUCACCCACCAAUUUUGUAGUUGUCUUCUGUUUUCAGAAAAGAAUAUGGAGUUUAACUUUAAUAAUUUGGUAUCAAAAGUGUCUCGUGCAAUUGACUUGGUUUUUAGUAGAUGUUUUGUCUUCAUCUGCUCUCUACCUCCAUUUCAUGAGGGGUCCAGACCAUGCUCACUUCAUUCUCAACUCCACCAGUUCUGCUCUCUUUCUGGAUUUUCCUACCAUCUUGCCAUUCACUCUCUUACCCCAACUUGCCAGGCACCAAUCUCACCCCCAGUCCUACCCUAACGCCACCCUCUUCUAACUAUUUUACAGAUUUUAUUUUUCCCCAAUAACAUUGUCAACUCUUUGAGACUCUUUUUCUUGUAUCUGCAUUCCCAGAACUUAGCAGAGCACUCAGCAUAUAGUAAGAACUUAAUAAAUUCUUUUUAAAGCUACCAAGAAAAAUAAUUUUUUGGUUUUGUUUCUUUGCUCUGCUUCACUUCAGACAAGUCUUUCUUUAUCUCUGGAUCUUUCAUAUUUGUUGUUUCUUGGGCAUAAUAUCAUUUCAUUAGAUUGGCAUGGUAGAAAAAGUUCUAGAUUAAAAGUUAAAUAAUCUAGGAUUAAAUUCCAUUUUCUGAGUAUUUGCUACAUAAGUUUCUUUGAAUUUUAACUAUUAGAAAUAAUAAUGUUUCAAAUAUUUUUGGAAAAGCAGGAUCUUUUUGUUAACAUUGAUUUCCUGUGUUAUAAACUCAGAAGCACACCCAGGAAACAAAGGAUUCAAACAAUUUACUAACUUUUCUUGCAUGAUUCCAAAUUUUUUUUUCCAGAAUGGCUAGAACAUCAUAUCAUAAGCAAUGAAUUAGGUAUCAAUCUUCCCACAACCCUCACAACAUUCAAUUUUUUCCAUCUUUGACCAGCUUUGACAAUUUUAUAUUAGUAGGUAAUAUCUCAAAAUUGUUUUAAUCUUCAUUUCUCUGGUUAUUAGUGAUUUUGAAUAAUAUAUUCAAGGUAAUUGUUAUGAGUUGCAUUUUUACUUGUAGUUUAUAUCCUUUGACACUUAACUGUUGUGAAAUUGUUCAUAUUUUUGUAGAUUUAUAGUAAUUCUUUUUUUUUUAAACCCUUACCUUCCGUAUUAGAAUCAAUACUGUGUAUUGGCUCCAAGGCAGAAGAGUGGUAAGGGCUAAUCAAUGGGGAUUAAGUGACUUGCCCAGGGUCACACAGCUGGGAAGUAUGUGAGGUCAGAUUUGAACCUAGGACCUCCCGUCUCUAAGCCUGACUCUCAAUCCACUGAGCCACCCAGCUGCCUCCUAUAGUAAUUCUUUAGAAAUAUUUGAUAUCAAAUUUUUUCAGGGAUGUUUAUGGCAAAGAUUUUUUUCUGAUCUAUAUAUUUUCUCCUUAUUCUACCUACACUGAUAUUGGAAUUUUUUUGGAAUUUUUUAGUUCACUACCAGCAUGACCUAUUUUGUCUUUUAUAAUCUCUUUUAUCUGUCAUUGAUUAUAAAUUCUUCCCUGAUCUACAGCUAUGAGUAAUAUAAUACUCAAUGAUUUCUUAUCUUGGCAUGGAGAAGACCUCGGAUUGUUAAAGGCUAUGUCCAUGGAACACGAAUCCUGACCCUCCACAUACUAGCUGUAUAACCUCUACCUGUCUGAACCACAGUUUCCUCAUUUGUAAAAUAAAGUAGUUUGGAUGAGUUCUGCAGUUCUUUACAGCCCUAUAAUCUCAUAAUCUUCAAAUCUCCAAAUAUGGAACCAGUAAUAUUAUACCAAGACUUAAAGGGCAAAGAAAUUCAUUGCCAGUAGUAAAGAUUUUUUUUAAAGAUGAAGUAAAGAUUUUUUUCCAGUCAAAGCAAUUUACAAAAACCAAGGAAUGUUGAGGCUGAGGUCAUUCAUGGUUUGGAGAAUAUGUAGCUCUAUAGUUUGAGAUCUAACAAAAUACCACAAUGACAAUUCUUCUCUGAUUCCUAUUGCCUCUCUCCCUAUCUCCUACUUGACCUUACUGCAGUCCUAGAGCAGAAAUACUAUGGAAAAAAUAUCCUUUUUAAAUCCCCAAAAAAUAUUCCGCAGAGGGCCUGUCAAAGGUUCAAGAUUUCUCUGAAGCAGCUGGCCCGCCCUUGUGGAACACCUGAUCUGAAAAAUGUCGGAGGCUUGUAUUAGGUAGGUAUUGUUGUCUCUAGAGCCUCCCGGGUAAUUCUCCCUUGUUUUGAGGGUUCUUUGGCACUUCUUUCGGGUAUCUGACAUCUAAACAAUGUGUAAUCUGGUUUUCAGUAAGGCAAUUACCUGGCAAGUCUGAAUGAACUAUAAUGGAAUAAAUAGCACGUUACGACACAUUGUACAAAAUGCUGCACCUGAGUAAGCUAGCAUUCCGAAAUAAUUAUUAUCUGUAAUCACACGAACAUGCUGAAAUGAUGGCUUUAUUUGUGUGGAAGCUUAGGCCACCUGCUUUAGAACCUCACUGGAGAUACAUGCAGAGACUAUCUCAAAAGCGUGUAUAUUCGGGGGUUUGUUUGAUCCAUAGGCUCAGUUCAUCAAAGUGGGCACAUGAUUUAUCCUUUUCAAAUCAGUAAAAGACUCUGCCAAGGGAUCGCAGGCUCAGGAAUCUGCCUCCUUUAUUUGAAGUGACUUCUCCUGACUGGUUGGAAUUGAUCUGAAGUGUAAAUAUAGUUUUCAAACACACUAAGUUCUCUCAGACACUUACCAGCUGUGUGAUUCCUGACAAGUCCCUUAGCGCUAUUUGCCUCAGUUUCUCCUCUGUAAAAGAAGCUGGAGAAGGAAAUGGCCAACCACUCCAGUAUCUUUGCCAAGAGAACCACAGAUUGGGUCAUGAAGAGUCAGGCACAUUGGAAAAAUGACUGAACAACAAAAUUCUCUGGGGCAUUUCACCAAAAUUCUAUAUAAUCAUAGCUACACUAUAUAUGUUUAUAGGUAUCCGUGUGUAAAGGGGCUUAAAUCAAGUUGUUGUUCCCUCGUUUUUAGUUGUGUCCGGCUCUUAAUAAUCCCAUUUAAUGUCUUCUUGGCAGGGAUUUUGGAGGUGUGUGCCAUUUCCUUCUCCAGCUCAUUUUACAGAUGAGGAAACAGGGUGAAGUGGUAUGCCCAGGGUCACAAAGCCAGUAUGUCUCAGGUCAAAUUUAAGGUCAGGAAGAUUAGUCUUCCUACCUCUAGCCCUGGUGUUCUAACCAUUGCACCACCUAGCUGCCCUCAUAAAUACACAUCCCUAUUAGACUGUAUGAACAGUGAUGGGAAGUGAUGAUCUAGGUUCAUAUGUGUGUGAUUCUAAACAACUCACAUCUAUAGAUCACGUUGAUCUAUAAAGCACUGGGAGAAUUAAAAUUAAUAUAUAAUAACUCAAGUAUUACAUUUAUAAGAUUUAUUAAAAUAAAAACUAGAGUUAAAAGGGAGCUAACUAACUUAAGCCUCGGUCUCAAUGAAGAAGAGAAAGAGAUAGGAGCCCCAGAAAGUUAUAAGCAAUAGCAUAACAAGGCAAGCUUGAGGAUGAAGGGAAAGGGAUGCUGGGUAAUGAAAAGGCAUUCUGGGGAAUGUAGUCCAAAGGUAGAAAAUUUCCACUUAUACAGCACUUUCCUCACAAUAGCUUGAUGAUGAAUGAAGGGAAAGUAUUAUUAUAAUUGGCAUCUUAGAGCAUUUCCAAGUUUGCCAUGCAUUUGACAUAUAUUACCUUAUCUGGGCUUCAAAACAGCCUUGUAAGAGAGAUAAUACAGAUAUUAGUAUUCCCAUUUUACAAAUGCAGAAACUCCAGCUCAGAGAUAUUAAUUGACUUGUCUAAGAUCACUUAGGGUUAAAAAUAGGUUUUGAAAUAUCUUUCAGCUAGUUGACAUGGUGGAAAGAGUGCUAGAUCUGUUCUAGUCAGAAGGAUCUAGAUUCAAAUCCUGCCCCAAGUAAUUUACAAUCUAUAUUAUCCAGGGCAAGUCAUUAACUUAACCUCUGUUUGCCUCAGUUUCCCUAUCUAUAAAAUGGAAGUGCCCUUUGAGAUUUCUUACAACUUAAAAUGUAUGAUUCUAUGACAUAAGGAUUCCAUCUUUUCUCAUGGUGACAGCUAGAAUUGGAAAAGAUGGAGAGAAGAUGGUAGGUAGAUUCUAUAAAAAUUCCCUCAGUGAUUACCCUAAUUAUUUUUAUCUUUACAGUAUCAGAGGCAGCUUUUAGACUUAUACAUGCUAUUAUAUCUGCUUAAGUACAUGUAUAGCUUUAAGGGUUGCAAAACCCAACAAAUAGUAUCUUAUUUUAUCCUCACAACCCUAGGACGGAGUUAGUAUGUAUUUAUGUAGUUAGUAGUAUUAUCUCCAUUUUAUAGAUGAACAUGGGGCUCAGGAUACAAGGAUACCGCUUGUCUUUUUCCCUGUGCUUUCUUUCAAAGUACAUCAGGAAUUAGAGGUUUCUUUCUUCUCCCUCCCUUUUCUCUAGGAAUAUUUAAUAGCAUUUUUCAACAGAUGCACAGAGAAGUAGCAAGCACACAUGCCUACUCGGCACAACAAGAUCAUGUACAAUGUUCCUGAAGCCCAAACUCUUCUAUUGAGAGAUGAAUGGAAGCAGGAAAGCAUCAGGCAGCACGAUACCCAAAUCUAGCCUCCUGGCUCAGGAGAAAGGUUUACCUGCAAAGGUAAAGGUAAAGCAGCACCAACUUUGAGAAUCAUCUCAGAGGUAACCCCAAAUUGGAGAGCUUCCAAGUUUGAGCUAUUGUUUGUUCUUCAUUUUGGAAGAGGACCAAUAACAUCCUGGGGUGAUGUCUUGACUUACAUGCACCAGUCUUCUAGAAGGAGAAAAUUUCUCAAUAGUGUCCUUAGCCCAGUUAACUCGAAGAAGCUAAGAAUAUAACACGCUUCAAAAAAAAAAAAAGAAUUAGAUGGGACAGCUAAGUGACUAGAUGAACAGAAAACCAGGCCUGGAGACGAGAUGUCCUAGGUUCAAAUCUGACCUUACACCCUUCCUGGCUGUAUGACCCUGGGCAAGUCACUUAACCACGCACACCCCCACCCCUUGCCUAGCCCUUACUACUCUUCUGCCUUAGAACCAAUACUUAAUAUAGAUUGUUAAGAUGGAAGGUUUAAAAAAAGGAUUAGACAAAUUCAUUGGUGUUACAAAUCCAUUACAGUCCAUUAAAAUAGAGGUAAUGAUACUUGGGAUAAUCACCUUGGGAAAUUUUUAUAGAAUGCCACUAUUAUCUUCUCCCAUAAAGCUUUCUGACUGUCAUUAUGAGAAAAAGAUGGAAUUCUUAUAAUAUAUUUUAAUCUGGAAGAAAUAAAUUCCUUAUUCAUCAAUUGGGAUGGCUGAACAAGUUGAAAUAUAUGAUUAUAAUGGAAUGUUAUUGUGCUGUAAGAGAUGACAAACAGAAAGAUCACAAAAAAAAAAAAAAACCUGGAAAGAUAUGAAAUGAGACAAAGUGACAUAAGCCAAACCAGGAGAACACCGUACACAGUAAAAGCAAUAAUGCACAAUGAUCAACUGUGAGCGGCUUAAUUGUUAUCAGUAAUGCAAAGAUCCAGGGGAACUCCCAGGGACUCAUGACAAAGCAAGCUAUUCUCCACAACAGAAGGAACUGAUGGAAUCUGAAUGCAGAUUGAAACAUGCCACUUUUCAUUCUAUUCCCUUCGUGAGUAUUUUUCUUAUAUUAGCAAUAUGUAUCUCCUUUCAAACCAUGACAAACAUGGAAAUAUGUAUUGCAUGAUAGCACACGUUAAAUGUAUAUCAUGUUACCUGCCAUCCCAAGGAGGUGGGAAGGGAAAGUCUUGGAUAGAAAAAUGUCAGAAAACAAUUAUGAGACAUUUUAUUUAUAUGUAAUCUGGAAAAAAAUUAAAUAUCCUACUUUGCUACUCCCUCCAAAAAGAAAUUGAAGUUAAAAAGGAAAGAAAGAAGCAUCUCCUUUUAGGGUAAAAUAUAUCCUAUCCCAGAGAAGGGUCAAGACUGCCAGAAGAGAAAUGCCCUGAAAAUUAAGAAAUAAAGCCAGGUCAUGGUGGAAGCAAAGGUCUGGGCCUCACCAACACUGUUGUUUUUGUGAUACAGUACAGUUCUAAGAUGAAGGGAAGUCCUCAAGGUAUGUUUACCAUAUUAAGUCAUUCUAAAGCCCAUUUGAAUGUUCAUGGACUCUUGUGAAUCUUUUUUGUAUUAAAUGCAUUUUUUCCAUGAGGAUAAAAUAAAA